rnacentral:rRNA from 1 species
GAUGAACGCUGGCGGCGUGCCUAAUACAUGCAAGUCGAGCGAACAGACGAGGAGCUUGCUCCUCUGACGUUAGCGGCGGACGGGUGAGUAACACGUGGAUAACCUACCUAUAAGACUGGGAUAACUUCGGGAAACCGGAGCUAAUACCGGAUAAUAUAUUGAACCGCAUGGUUCAAUAGUGAAAGACGGUUUUGCUGUCACUUAUAAAUGGAUCCGCGCCGCAUUAGCUAGUUGGUAAGGUAACGGCUUACCAAGGCAACGAUGGGUAGCCGACCUGAGAGGGUGAUCGGCCACACUGGAACUGAGACACGGUCCAGACUCCUACGGGAGGCAGCAGUAGGGAAUCUUCCGCAAUGGGCGAAAGCCUGACGGAGCAACGCCGCGUGAGUGAUGAAGGUCUUCGGAUCGUAAAACUCUGUUAUUAGGGAAGAACAAAUGUGUAAGUAACUAUGCACGUCUUGACGGUACCUAAUCAGAAAGCCACGGCUAACUACGUG